rnacentral:misc_RNA from 1 species
CCCCAAUGGGUUCUCCGGAUUUCUGGAGACUUGUAGGGGUUGUGGGAUUUUUGAUGUGUCGUCUCCGGACGGGCGGUGCAGGGUAGUCGAGUUAGACUUGGUGGAAUUCCGUCGAUAGGAGUUCCGUCGAGUCUGGUCGGCUGUGUGUUGGACGGUGCAGGGUAGGCUGCUUGGACAUGGUCGGUUCGAGGAUCGAUUCGAGGGCCGGCGCCUAUCGAUGAUGUGUGAUGUAUGCGGUCUAGGGUAGGCUGGUUUGUCUUGGUCCAAUUUGAUGUCGGCUCCCGUGCAGGCCAGAGUGAAGGGGGGUCCAGGGUAGGUACAGGGUAGGCAGCUUAUAUUUGGUCGGUCUGGAGGUCGAUUCUCUGGCUGGCGGAUCUGACACUGUCGAAACGAGAUGCGAGCGGUGUAGGGUAGGCUAGUUUCGUCCUCGCCAGGUUGCGAUUUGGACGAGAUAUGUGGUUCAGGGUAGGCUCUAGGGUAAGUAGAAUUCGAGUUUCGUCGCCGACAGUUUUCUGUGUGUGUAUGGUAGGUGCAGGGUAGGCAAAUCUCUCUCCGGCCAGUACUUGUCUGGUGGUCGUGAGUCGAUUUUUUUGUUUUGCCAUACUAUUGAAUUUUGCGGAAAUUCAAAAGUGGCUCGGGAGUCCCGCCUGGCGUGCGUCCGACUCGAACAUCGUCGGUGUACAUAUGAGAGGGAGUAAUCCGGCCCGGCCGGGGCCCAUCGCGAGCUGCAGGGUAGGUAAAAGUAAAAAAGUUGUUAAGAGGCGCGGUGUCGGCGUGCUUGUAUUUGCGGGAGAGAAUUAUCUGGAGGUGCUGGGUAGCCGGGAAGACUUGGAUGGAUCUGGCCCGGGAAUGGGUCUGCGCCUGGAUUCUGGUGUGGUGUAGGGUAGGUGUAGAUAGAUGAGUGGUCUAGGGUAGGUACAGGGUAGCUAGAAGUCUGGUAUAUAGUAUUGGGGGGGUGUAGGGUAGGUCUGGGCACUGUUUUCCGCUUCGCCCUUCCCUUUACUCGAGGGGAGGACGAUCUUGGCUGGGCCGGAGGUGUAGGGUAGGCUUAAUUUACGAUUAUAUAAUCUGCAUCACUCUAGGGUAGCUGAAAAUCUUAUAUGUAUCUGGUCACAUUUGGUGAAGAGGUUGGUUUGGGAUGGUGAGAUGAACAAAAGUGCAAUGUAGAAUUUGUAUAUGAUUUUGCAAAAGUGGGCGUGAAAUU